rnacentral:lncRNA from 1 species
UGGCCUGCGGAAAUUCCUGGUCCAGGGAUCAAACUUGCACCACAGCAGUGACAAUGCUGGAUUCUUAACCCACUGUGCCACCAGGGAGGUCCCAUACAGGCCUCUUAAAAAGUCUGAGAGUUCUCUAGUUUCCUGCCCCUAGUGACAUCACCAGCAUUCUAGGAAACAAAUUCUCUAGUACUUCUUUCAGUUCUCUUUUUCAGGGCCUCCUUUCACUUCUUAAAUAUUGAUACGCCACCAGGGUUCAAAUCUGAUCUGCUUCUGACUUGAUACUGAUGGAAUUCCUAGAAAGUACGCUGACUCAACCUGAUUCUUACUGUGUCUUCUCUGCAUUUUUAAAAGUUAGGCCCCAAGUUCUCCUGUAGGUCUGGUGGAUGUUUGACAGUGGACACUUGGUCACUCUGUGCUACUCCACUUUGUAAAGUGGUAACUCUGAGUAAUGGUUACAUCACUGCCAGCUGCUUUGUAACCUGCCUUUUACAUAAUGUCACUGAAAUGAUACUGACUUUUCUAAAGCGAAAUCCUGCACAUUUUUGUCAAUAAAUAUUUUGUACAAAUGCUAGGACCAAAGGCUAUAUCUGUUUUUGAAGUGCUCCAGUCCCAGGAAUAGAGGUAUUAAAUUUAUAAAUCACUGUGAUAAGCAUUAUUAUAAUGAUGCCUUUCUAGGAUUAGAAGGGUGAACUCUGAUGGGAGGAGGGCAAGGCUUCACUGAGAGAUGAUAUUUUGGUUGGUUUGAAAGGAUACUAGUAUUCCAUCAAUUGCAGAAGAUGGGAAUCAUGCAGGACAAUCAGAAUAAUGUGCAAAACAUUUCAUCUAAUAAAUUCAGUAAUUGAAAUAUCACCAUUUUGCAGUACUUAAUAAAUAGGAUAAUCAUUAAUAAUUAUUAAUACAUGCUUGAUACUAUGUAUUAAUAGCAUUGAGAAUCACACCUGUUCACAUCACAAAAGGAGACAAUUGGCUACCACAUAAAAAGCGUUCUUCUGUUUGUUUGUUUUGUUUUUUUAGGGCUGCACCCAUGGCAUAUGGCAGUUGCCAGGUUAGGGGUUGAAUCCAAGCUCUAGCUGCUGGCUUAUACCACAGCUCACAGCAAUGUCAGAUCUGAGCCAUGUCUGCGACCACAGCUCACCGAAACGCCAGAUCCUUAACCCACUGGGCAAAGUCAGGGAUUGAACCUGAGUCCUCAAGGAUAUUAGCUGGGUUUAUUACCAUUGAGCCACGAUGGGAACGCCCCAGAGUGUUUUUUUUUCCCUUUUUUUUUUUUUUUUUUAAAUCAAGCCUGAGUCUGAUCAAACUGUAAGUACAAUUUCUAUUUUAUAGGAAAUACAGAGGAAGUGGGAAACGUUAAAUGACACCAUGGGGAUGAAAUUAGCAAAAUGAAAGAGUUACAAAACAAAUGACAAAAAAUAAAUUAAUUGUAAGGAGAAAAAAGAUGGGAGUUCCUGUUGUGUGGGUUAAAGCAUCUGGCGUCCCUUGCCUGGGAACUCCAUGUGCCACAAGGUGGCCAAAAAUGAAAACAAAAACAAAAAAAAAAAAAAGGAAAAAAGAUGGAUACUUAUAGAUACUUACACUUUUAGAAAGACAUCAAUCUCUGUAGAUUAAAAGACAUCAGCCAGUCACAAUUAUGGGUCUUCUUUGGAUUCUGAUAUAAAAAUAACAUUUUAUGAGAAAAUUGGAAAUUUGAAUCCUGGAUACUUGAUUUUACUAAGUAAUUGUUAUUUUUUAGAUGUGAUGCUGGUGUUGGGUUAUAAUUAAUUCCUUGUCGAUUUGAACAGUGAGAUGAAAUUCUUUUUUUUUUUUUUUUCCCUUUUUAGGGCCAUACCCUUGGCAUAUGGAAGUUUCCAGGUUAGGGGCUGAAUGGAGCUAUAGCUUCCGGCCUACGCUGCAGUCACAGCAACGCCAGAUCUGAGCCCCAUCUGCAACCUACACCACAGCUCACGGCAACCCUGGAUCCAUAACCCACUAAGCAAGGCCAGGAAUUGAACCUGCAUUCUCAUUGAUACUAGUCAGAUUUGUUUCUGCUUCACCACAAUGGGAACUCGGUGUGAUGUAAUUCUAAUUGAUGAACUGUUAAGAGGAAGUUUGCUUCUAAGUAGCGUGGAGCAAGGGUGGAUAGAGGUAUACAUGAAAAGUUUUAAAAAAUUGUGAAAAACUAUUUGGGAACUAAUCGUUCCAAGUAGUUGAGGCACAGGGGUACAUAGAAGCAGGAAACGAGACUAGGAAGGGGAGAUGGUGGCAGUAGAUGUAAUACUUGGGUCAUGAAGCGCAUUUACUGCCAUCACAGGCCAAUGGAUUUCAAACCACCGUGGCCGCCUGGGUUUGUGGUGUUGCCCCCCGUGGUGCUAAACAGAGAGGACACCAGGUCACUGACCUUUUUUAAUAAGAACAGCUUUGUGUUCUGUUUUAUUAAAUCAGGCUUCUCGGUGAUAUUUUAUUUAAAAACAGGAUUCUGAGGAUUUCCAAUUUUUUCUCUAACCAUUCGGGGAACACUUGACUAUUUUAAAGACUAUUACUUAAGUUGUCCUGCAGAAGAUUAGAGAGAAACCGGCUAUGAGAUUUGUGCUAUCACCAAUGAAUGAACGAUUUGUUUUGAGGGGAAUUUAGCUAACGAAGAUUUGGUCCAGGAAGUAAACAUUUUAUGAUAAUGUUUGUCAUCGUUUUUUCCUCAGUUCACAAAGGACAACCAAGAGGAUGUGGAAAUAGGCUCAUUCCUCUAACAAAGUCAGUCUCUCUGAGCAUCUGCUAGAGUACUGGCUGGAACCCAGUUCCCUCCCUUUUCCCCGUUUUGGCAGAGCCUGCUCCUUGCAGUCUCAGCAUCUUUGAGCACAGUCUCUAGCCUGGUCCUCCCGUGCACCGUGACUGAGAGUGCAGGGAGGUAGGGAAUGAUGCCAGCUAUUUGAGUUCAUGGUGACCGCCUCUAUCACUGCUGCCCUGUCUCAGCUACCGCCGCCUCAGACGUGCCCCACCACAUCUACCCGAGAGUACGUAGCUUCUUAGAGCAGCUGAGCUCCAGAUUGUAAAAGCUCAGAGGCAGCCACCUUUUCUUCCCUUAUCUCCAUGACCUUGGAGUCUGCCAUGACCUUGGAGUCUGCCAUGACCUUGGAGUCUGCCUAGGAAAACCCACUGACCUUCCCUCCUAUUACUGUCCUCUGGAGCUGAUGUCUCCCUGACCCCUAUGCCUUCAAGUCACACACCCAUCCACCAAGUCCCUGUGGCUAAUAAAAAUUAGCUAUUAACAAUCCAUUCUUACAGUGAAAAUGGUUUAGAUAUAUCCUCAGCGUUCUCCACCCCCACCGGCUUUCACUUCACUCCAUCCUGGUUCUACUUGGUUUCUAAUAGAUUGGCUUUGUAGGUUUUGGUCUUUUUCUAAAACCUUGCCCUUGCCCCUCUGACUUGGUGCUUGAGUGAUUCUUCCCGAGUUCUUUUUUGCUUUUCAAGACAAUUCUUAGCAGUCUUGAAUUUUGGAACUCCUUGAGAAUCUAAUGAUAGCUAAAGACUUUCUCCAAAAAGUGCAUACACGCACAGUGUUUUGUCUAUAAUCUCAAUCUCUAGAUUUUUAAAGCUGUGCUCAAUGCAUCUGGAAUCCUUUUGGUGGUUGUGGUGGGAAUUGUUUGAUAAAAAUGCAGUGUUCUUGUCUCUACCCCUUACCUAUUAAAUCAGAAUUCCUGGUGGUAGAGUCGAGGAAUCGGCAAUUUAAACAGUAUCCCUGUUAACUCCUACCCCUGCUUACCUUUUAAGUGCACUAAAAUUGAGAGAGUCUGCUCUAAUGAUUCAGUUUAUCAUCAUAGCCUAUCUUUUCUUCCCCUCCCAGCCACUUACCUAUGGCUACAGGAGUUCAAAUUCUAGAGUCCUGGUCCUCACCUAAAGAAAAAGACUACUUUUCUCUGGGGCUAUAGUGAAACCCCUUGUUAAAGAAACUCUAGAGCCCAACAAUGCGACUAGGUCUCUUUCAUUUCCAGGCAUGGUUCUAAAUUGAGAGAGCCAAGUCAUGUCUAAGAAAGCCACAUUUCCCCUCUUCCUUUCAUUCAUCUUUCAUCAAUACUUUCUGUAUUUACUUUCCCCUAUCAUGAAUGGAAAUUCCCUGUUCUGGAGAUGCAGAUUCCCACCCAAGGCAAGAUGUCUUGUGCUUUUGCAUGUUUGUUUUCCUCAUCUCAGGUGUGUUAUUCAUGUGGCUAGCCAGUGGUCCAGAGUUAGAACCUUGAAAUGAGAUUCAGGAGCACAAUGCCCAGGAUUAGAAAUGGUAGAGGAAAAAGGAAAAAGUCUCAAACUGAUAGACUUCCUGACUUCUUUCAACAGGUGUUGUUUUAAAUCAGCCUUGCAGAUAAAUUGGUUCCAUCUUGGAGUUUCCAUCCUGGCUCAGCGGUAAUGAGCCCUAACCUGACUAGUACCCAAGAGGAUGCAGGUUUGAUUCCUGGCCCUGCUCAGUGGGUUAGGGAUCCGGCGUUGCUGUGAGCUGUAGCGUAGGUUGCAGACUCGGCUCGGUUCUGGCGUUGCUGUGGUUGUAGCAUAGGCCUGUGGCUACAGCUCCAAUUCGACCCCUAGCCUGGGAGCCUUCGUAUGCCAAGGGUGCAGCCAUAAAAAAGAAAAAAAUUCUUUCCAUCUUUUUUCAAAGAAGUAGGACAGUGUACUUCCUUGGUAGAUCCAAAAAUGUUGUGUUCCCCUUCUUACCCUUGCCAUAAGUAAAUAUGCCUAAUGAAAUAACAGCAACAAAGUGGGGUAGAGGAAUACAAGUAAACAGGUUUGCAGAGUUAAACCUAAAUGCUAGCUGGUCCAGGUACAUCCUUGAGGUUCAAAACUGACGACAGAGUAGGGAAGGCCAUUGAAUAACUUUCUUUUAAUCGAUUAUUUUACUGGCUAUAAAUUUUUAAUGUGAUAAUUGAAAAAAAAUUUAGAAAGUAUGGAAAGUUACUUUUUUUUUUUGGCUAUUCCUUCGGCAUGCAGAAGUCCCAUGGCCAGGGAUCAAACCCUCGCCACAGCAGCCACAAAGCCAGAUCCUUAACCUGCUGAGCCACCAGGGAGCUCCUGUUCUUAUUUUUUUAAAGAAGAAGAUAAGUCAGUUAUAAUCCUGGGUCCUACCAUCCAGAGGCAACUACUAGUAACAUUUGGCAUUCUUCCAUCUAGUGUUUUCCUACUUUAAAAAAAAAAAUAAUAGAACUCAUGCAAUACAAACAACCCAGUUAACGGCUUUGCUUGUCUAACGUUGUUUUAUAACAUCUCCCAGUUAAUUAUUCAAGACCAUAACUUUUCAUGGCUGCAUGACGUUUAAUCAAAUGGAUAUACCAUUAUUUAUUUAACUUUUGCUCAGUUGUUGGAUACUUAGGUAUAAUGCUUAUGUAUAAUAUUAUAAGUAUUAUAGUGUUA